UCACGUGGGCACAGCAAAGCCUCCCCUGGGUGAGGUCCAGAGAGAUGGCAAGGCUUUCUCUCAUCCUAGUGCAAAUGUUGACAGUGUAAGCACAUAAGGUCCACCAUCGUUGUCUUCCCUGAGAUGUUUACUACCUGAAGGAUGCUUCCUCCAGCAACUGCUCCUACUUAGACUACUGAAACCUGCCUCAUUGUCCAGCUAGGUCUCAUUGUUUAUCUGUAUGGAAUAAUCUUGUCUCCUUGUUCAGCUUAAAAUGAAAGGAAGAACAUCCACUACAUAUCCUGUAUGUGGGGGUGAAAGGAAGGUGGCAGGUCUACAGUGUAGAUGCACUAGAUAUAGGUUUGUUCCUUCAGUAUUGCUAACAAAACACCAUUGCCCAAGGAGAAGAGCAGACACUCAAGAAAAGCUAUGGACUCACUCAAGUACUUUCCAAUUUGGUGAGCUGUCAGCUUCUCAAUCUCAGUCCCGCCCCCUAGCUGAUUGACAUGGAGUAAGCCACUCAC